GAGGUUCUUCAUAACAUAUGAAAAGUGUUCAAAAUAUUAUGACAUUUGAACAUUUUGAUUUGAAUCAAAAUAUUAUGAUUGCUCAUGGUCAAUUUCAAGGUUAAAAGGAGACUGUAAAAGAAUGGAUUUUUAUAAUUGAGAUGCCAUAGAUAUGGUAAAUCACAAUACUUCAAAAAUUUGGGGGUAAAAUGUUACAUGUUAUAUGGCAAUUAACAAAUCUAAUCUCAGGAAUUCAAAAUUAUUUUCCUACCAGCAAGAGAUCCAUGCCCCAUCUUUUUUAUGAUCCCUAUAAACCAAGAUAAUAAGUCAGUACUAUUUGGUGUUGGUGAAUGCAUAUUCAACGAACCAAAGUUGUCAACAAAUUUAGAAAACCAUAUCAAAUUUUCUUGACACUACUUGACAUUGUGCUUUGACAGUCUAUCAGCACUACACAUACAUGUUUUAUCAAAAAAGAAAUAUUGAUUAAAUUAAUUCAAUUGAAUUUGUAUUUCUCUACUAUCAAUAACAACUUCUCUCCUCACUCCAUCUGCUUACUUACAGAUAUCCAGAGAUGAAGAGGACCCUGUGGUGGAGGGUAGAAGGAGCAGAGAAAAAGGGAUGUAUCUGAAAGUGUUUCAAGAGUAUUUAGAAUGCACCCUCGUUCAAAAAAUGCCCCGUCCCUUCUUGUGGAGAGUAAUAGGAGAGGCACUGCCUCUUUAGUCAGAGUCAUAGUUCUCCACUUUGGCUGCACACUAUAAUCACUUGGCCCAAUUAUAAAAAAUACUAAUGCCCAUCCCAACUCUCAGAGAUUGGAAUUUAAUUGAGUUUGGGGUAGGUUUCAGACUUUUUUUUUAAAGGCCAAGAUUAUUUUAGAGUGCUGCCAGGGCAUUAAGAAGAUCUGGAUUCAAUUCUUUUUGUAUGAUCUUAGACAAGUUAGUGAGCUCUUCUGAACCCCAAUGUAUCCAUAAAAUAAAGGUUUUUUUUGUUUGUUUGUUUUUUUGUUUUUUUAAAAUCUACUUCACGGAGCCAUGUUGGGGGGAAAAAAGAGAAUAAAUACGUGAGAACUCCCAACACAGACUCUGGCACAUACGUGGCACUCAGUAAGUGUAAGUUCCCUUCUUCUUCACUAUGCGCUAAUCUAUGUUCAGAUUAAACAAAACGUUGCCUUUUGUACUUGUGUCUCUUGCUUUUUCCCCCUCUGAUAUCUUCCACUUAUUUUUCAGAAGUAACCUAAGGGUACUUGAAGGAAAUGAGAGUCAAAGUCCUUUCCCUUCUGUAGCACAAAGGGCCUCUCCACCCCUUUUCCCAAAGUUAAGUGAUUCUAUGUAUUCAACUAGCAGCUGUGGGACUGAGGCCAUGUUGGGAGAGGGACUGAAGUAUGACCUGACAUCACCCAUGUCUUCCUAUUUCCAGGUAGUCAGGGAGGAAUGCCCUAACUGAGCUUGGGGAAGCCCUUGAAUGUCGGAGAAUGGCCAACUUUUCCAAAGUGAAAGUACACAACCCAACGUGGCAGCAGGAGAAGGAAAAACACAAAUUGCACAGAGGUCUCUGCUCUGAAGCCUGCAGAAUAACAAAGGAGUCUAUGAGAUGGAGAAAUAGAAGGGCGAAGGGAUCUUCACCGUGUGUGCCAUGAUGCCUUGACACUGACACCAAACAAUGUUGUGUCUGUCUCUAUAAUCCAGAGGAUGGGCAAUAUGGAUUUUGUGACAUAAAAAUCAGUGUGACAUAUGACUACCAUAAAAGAAGGAAUUAACAGACUAUUUUCUUAAUACUUGACUAAUAAACACUUACUACAUGUACAGUUA